UACGUAGGGGGCAAGCGUUGUCCGGAAUCAUUGGGCGUAAAGCGCGUGUAGGCGGUUUGGUAAGUCUGCUGUGAAAGUCCAGGGCUCAACCCUGGGAUGCCGGUGGAUACUGUCGGGCUAGAGUACGGAAGAGGCGAGUGGAAUUCCCGGUGUAGCGGUGAAAUGCGCAGAUAUCGGGAGGAACACCAAUUGCGAAGGCAGCUCGCUGGGACGUUACUGACGCUGAGACGCGAAAGCGUGGGGAGCAAACAGG
rnacentral:rRNA from 1 species